AAGAAGAAGAAGAAGAAGAAGAAGAAGAGAAUCAUUAAUUUUAUCAUAAAACUACUUAGGUUCAGAAUAUAGCUCUGCCAUUCACUGACUGAUUAUAACAUUCACCAAGUCACGUAGCCUCCUGAGCUGCUAGCUAUGGCUAGGAGUACGUGAAGCAAUGGGUUUGACCGCAUUGCUAUGCACCCAGCAGGUGUGAGUCUCAGGCUAGCUCCAUUGUCAUUGUACACGUGAUAGGAAGUUCUCAGGCAAGGUGACCCAAGAAUUCAAGCUCUCUGAUUCCUUGGCUAGAACUAACCUGGUGGACAGUAGGGUCUUUGGGCGGAUGCUGUUCUAGCCAGCUGACCUGUGGGUUGUACCUGCCACCUUUGGUGUGCCACCGUCUGGGAGGAGCCAGAUGCCUAUCCUGGAUCUGCCUGCCAACCACACUUCUGUCCCAACCAGGGCUGAGGCUGUCCUAGGCAUGUCAUGUAAGUGACAGCAAGUUGAGAAUAAAAGGACACGGCCCGGGAGUCAAGAGAUGAGAACCUCGUUCAGGGCAGCCACUAGACAGGUCUUCUCCCUCUCUUCUGAAUCUCGCUUCUCCUCGCCUGUAAAUUUAAUGUUUUGCAGGUGAUUGCCUUUGUGUUCUGAAGACUUCUAGACUGUGACCCCUGUGUGGGGUAAGGCAAGGCCCGAGUGUUGCAGCCAGCCUACGAGCAAACUUGCGAUCGGCCUACACUUCGGGUAACCUUGACCCAGAGGCAUUCAGCACACCAGCCUUGGAUUUCCUCAUCACUGAAAAUGGAAGGAGAUAACAGCCUGUGUCACAGGCCGCGUGAGGGCUUGCCCGACAAUAUGCCUGGCAUAAUUAAGUGCUCAGUAGAGGAUGGUGUUUCUAGAAUGAGUAUUCACCAGGAGCCCCCUCUCCCCUGCUUUUUUUUUUUUCUUUUUUUGAGACAGGGUUUCUCUGUAUAACAAAUAGCUCUGGCUGUCCUGGAACUUGCUUUGCAGGUUGGCCUCGAACUCACAGAGAUCUGCUUGCCUCUGCCUCCUAAGCGGUGGGAUUAAAGGGGUGCGCCACCGCCAACCUGACGAGGCUAUCUCUCUUACACGGUGUUGGGAAUCACACCCAGGGUUGUCCACAUAGUAGAGUGUCCCGCCACUGAGCUACAUCCCCAGUCCCUCAUCUGUUUCUUGACUCCUAGAUGAAAGACUAAGACUAGCAAGGAGGAAAGAAGAAGCCAAUGCUCUCCUUUCUUUUAUUUUCUGCCCUCAGUAAGGAAUCUUGGCUCUCCGCUCUGAAGACAGGACCAGCUACAACCUAACCCAAACGGCGGCAACGGGACUUGAACAUGCUAAGUAGCACUGCCACAUAACAGGUCAAAGAGAAGGCGUAAGCGCAAGCUUGGCAUCCUUCCCCAGGGGAGUGGUCUGUCUGGUUCUCUCCUCCAGACACCCAGGGCUGAUCCUCAAGAAUCUGCCUCAGCACCCACACAAGUCUGAACAGGGCCUGAAGACAGUCUCCAACCGCAACCUCAUUGUCCCACACCCUGGGAGGCCAAAUGACUUAAUCUUAUGGACCUGUUUUGCCAACUGUACAGUGGGGACACUCCCUCUCACAGGGUGCUGCGUGGGAUAAACAAGAUAACACGAACAAAGGGGUUCAGCAUGGGGCCCUGGCGUUCAACAAUUAGUGAGAACGUCUUAUCUGGCCACAUUGGGGCUCUUGCACUGUCCAUCCCCCAGAGACCAGAUCUGUGACCAUGGUGGAGUUCACAUUCCCCGGUCUCAUCUCCUCCCACUUCUGCUGUUACCACAGACUGACUAGCGUCUCAUCUGUGAGAUAUAUUGUCACUCUUCCUUGCUCGACUACGAAUCUUGAAGGAUCACCAUGGAGACACCUCUGCGCACGUCCUGGAGGGGGGUUUCCAGAGAGGAUUAACUGAGGAUGACAGACCCACCCUGAACACGGUGACAAUCAUGUCAUGGCCUGAGUGAAAGGAAGGAAGGGAGUUGAGUGCCGGUGUUCACCUUCCUCUGCAGUCUGACUGUCAACACCUCGUUCCCACCACCACACCUCUCCCACCACGGUGGACGGAACCCUCAAACUAC